rnacentral:lncRNA from 1 species
UGGGGUGAGGUGUAUGAGCCUCUGGUCGAUGAUCAAUGGCCACACAACCCCCAUUUUUGUCGAAAAUAGCCAUGAACGACCAUUUUCAAUAAUAUCGAAGGCUAACACCUACGGAUUUUUGACCAAGAAAUGGUCUCCACCAGAAAUCCAAGAAUGUGAUCUACGACAAGGAAACAUAUGUGGGUGAGGUGUAUGAGCCUCUGGUCGACGAUCAAUGGCCACACAACCCCCAUUUUGCCGAAAAUAGCCAUGAAUGACCAUUUUCAAUAAUACCGAAGGCUAACACGUACGAGUUUUUAACCAAGAAAUGGUUUCCACCAGAAAUCCAAGAAUGUAAUCUAUGGCAAGGAAACAUAUGUGGGGUGAGGUGUACGAGCCUCUGGUCGAUGAUCAAUGGCCACACAACCCCCAUUUUGCCGAAAAUAGCCAUGAACGACCAUUUUCAAUAAUACCGAAGGCUAACACGUACGAGUUUUUGACCAAGAAAUGGUCUCCACCAGAAAUCCAAGAAUGUGAUCUAUGGCAAGGAAACAUAUGUGGGGUGAGGUUAUGAGCCUCUAGUCGAUGAUAAAUGGCCACACAACCCCCAUUUUUUAUGAAAAUAGCCAUGAGCGACCAUUUUCAAUAAUACUAGAGGCUAACACCUACGGAUUUUUUACCAAGAAAUGGUCUCCACCAGAAAUCCAAGAAUGUGAUCUAUGGCAAGGAAACAUAUGUGGGGUGAGGUGUAUGAGCCUCUGGUCGAUGAUCAAUGGCCACACAACCCCCAUUUUU